AAUGGCAACUCAGUCAGAGAGCUGGACCCUGUACAAAUGUCCAGCUGGAUGGAUAAACCCUGAAAGAACAGUCUGCCAGAAAAACAACAGUCAAAACAGGUUUGUCAUAAAGGAGGAGAUGUCUUUGUGGUUCAGAUCUUAGUUAUGUGAGAAGACACCUUUUCUCCCCUGUGCAAUCUGCAGCUGUUGAGGUAGCCUGCCAAGGGAGCGAUCACUGACUUGAACCCUCUUGAAACCAUCUGAUCAUGCACCUGAUCUUCACCCAUGCAAGUGGCUUCUUCUGAUGGUUGGGUAUAUUCCACAUCGCAUCAGAGUGCCUGAGAGCUACAGGCUGUGCUCAGAUUCUGAUGGCACC
rnacentral:lncRNA from 1 species